rnacentral:rRNA from 1 species
ACGGAAGGCAGCAGUCGGGAAUAUUGCACAAUGGGGGAAACCCUGAUGCAGCAACGCCACGUGUGGGAAGAAGCAUUUCGGUGUGUAAACCACUGUCGUGAGGGAAUAAUGCUUAAUUUCGGUUAAGUUGAAUGUACCUCGAAAGGAAGAACCGGCAAACUUCGUGCCAGCAGCCGCGGUAAUACGAGGGGUGCAAGCGUUGUUCGGAAUCACUGGGCGUAAAGGGAGCGCAGGCGGAGAUGCAAGCAGUCUGUACAAUACCGGGGCCCAACCCCGGACCUGCAGACUGGACUGUGUCUCUUGGAUAGUUCAGGGGCAAGCGGAAUUCCUGGUGUAGCGGUGGAAUGCGUAGAGAUCAGGAAGAACACCGAUGGCGAAGGCAGCUUGCUGGGGACUUAUCGACGCUCAUGCUCGAAAGUGCGGGUAGCAAACAGGAUUAGAUACCAUGGUA